rnacentral:rRNA from 1 species
AUUGAACGCUGGCGGCAUGCUUUACACAUGCAAGUCGAACGGUAACAGGCCGCAAGGUGCUGACGAGUGGCGAACGGGUGAGUAAUGCAUCGGAACGUGCCCAGUCGUGGGGGAUAACGCAGCGAAAGCUGCGCUAAUACCGCAUACGAUCUAUGGAUGAAAGCGGGGGACCGAAAGGCCUCGCGCGAUUGGAGCGGCCGAUGUCAGAUUAGGUAGUUGGGGGGGUAAAGGCUCACCAAGCCAACGAUCUGUAGCUGGUCUGAGAGGACGACCAGCCACACUGGGACUGAGACACGGCCCAGACUCCUACGGGAGGCAGCAGUGGGGAAUUUUGGACAAUGGGCGCAAGCCUGAUCCAGCAAUGCCGCGUGCAGGAAGAAGGCCUUCGGGUUGUAAACUGCUUUUGUACGGAACGAAACGGUCCGGGCUAAUACCCUGGGCUAAUGACGGUACCGUAAGAAUAAGCACCGGCUAACUACGUGCCAGCAGCCGCAGUAAAAC